rnacentral:rRNA from 1 species
GACAGAGGGUGCAAACGUUGUUCGGAAUUACUGGGCGUAAAGCGCGUGUAGGCGGCCCUGCAAGUCGGAUGUGAAAUCCCACGGCUCAACCGUGGAAGUGCAUUCGAAACUGCAGGGCUAGAGUCCUGGAGAGGAAGGUGGAAUGCUUGGUGUAGAGGUGAAAUUCGUAGAUAUCAAGCGGAACACCGAUGGCGAAGGCGGCCUUCUGGACAGUGACUGACGCUGAGACGCGAAAGCGUGGGGAGCAAACAGG